rnacentral:rRNA from 1 species
UACGAAGGGGGCUAGCGUUGUUCGGAAUUACUGGGCGUAAAGCGCGCGCAGGCGGUUCUUUAAGUCAGGGGUGAAAGCCCAGAGCUCAACUCUGGAAUUGCCUUUGAAACUAGAGAACUUGGGUACGGGAGAGGUGAGUGGAAUUCCGAGUGUAGAGGUGGAAUUCGUAGAUAUUCGGAAGAACACCAGUGGCGAAGGCGGCUCACUGGCCCGUUACCGACGCUCAGGCGCGACAGCGUGGGGAGCAAACAGG